GACGGAGGGUGCAAGCGUUGUUCGGAUUGACUGGGCGUAAAGAGCGUGUAGGCGGUUGCCCAAGUCCGAUGUGAAAGCCCGAGGCUUAGCCUCGGAAGUGCAUCGGAAACUAGGCAGCUGGAGCGCGAUAGAGGAGGGUAGAAUUCCUGGUGUAGCGGUGAAAUGCGUAGAUAUCAGGAGGAAUACCGGCGGCGAAGGCGGCCCUCUGGAUCGUUGCUGACGCUGAGACGCGAAAGCGUGGGGAGCAAACAGG
rnacentral:rRNA from 1 species